rnacentral:rRNA from 1 species
GCAGCCGCCGCGGUAAUACGAAGGGGGCUAGCGUUGCUCGGAAUGACUGGGCGUAAAGGGCGCGUAGGCGGCGAUCAAAGUCAGGCGUGAAAUUCCCGGGCUCAACCUGGGGGCUGCGCUUGAUACUUGGUUGCUUGAGUGGGGAAGAGGGUCGUGGAAUUCCCAGUGUAGAGGUGAAAUUCGUAGAUAUUGGGAAGAACACCGGUGGCGAAGGCGGCGACCUGGUCCUUGACUGACGCUGAGGCGCGAAAGCGUGGGGAGCAAACAGGAUUAGAUACCCGCGUAGUCCCUGUCUCUUAUAC